rnacentral:rRNA from 1 species
CCUGGCUCAGAAUCAACGCUGGCGGCGUGCCUACUACAUGCAAGUCGAACGCGAAAGUGGAGCAAUCCAUGAGUAAAGUGGCGUACGGGUGAGUAACACGUGGAUGAUCUACCCUCUUGUGGGGAUAACUCUGGGAAACCGGAGCUAAUACCGCAUAAGUCCGAGAGGAGAAAGCAGCAAUGCGCAGGAGGAGGAGUCCGCGGCCGAUUAGCUAGUUGGUAGGGUAAAAGCCUACCAAGGCUGAGAUCGGUAGCCGGCCUGAGAGGGCACACGGCCACACUGGCACUGAAACACGGGCCAGACUCCUACGGGAGGCAGCAGUGGGGAAUCUUGCACAAUGGGGGAAACCCUGAUGCAGCGACGCCGCGUGAGCGAUGAAGCCCUUCGGGGUGUAAAGCUCUUUCGGCAGGGAAGAUUAUGACGGUACCUGCAGAAGCAGCUGCGGCUAACUACGUGCCAGCAGCCGCGGUAAUACGUAGGCAGCAAGCGUUGUUCGGAGUUACUGGGCGUAAAGGGUGUGUAGGCGGUCCUCUAAGUUUGGCGUGGAAUCUCCCGGCUCAACUGGGAGGGUGCGCCGAAAACUGGAGGGCUAGAGUACUGGAUGGGAGAGUGGAAUUCCUGGUGUAGCGGUGAAAUGCGUAGAUAUCAGGAGGAACACCUGUGGUGUAGACGGCUCUCUGGACAGUAACUGACGCUGAGACACGAAAGCGUGGGUAGCAA